rnacentral:misc_RNA from 1 species
GAUAAGUAAUGUGAAUUGCAGAAUUCAGUGAAUCAUCGAAUCUUUGAACGCACCUUGCGCUCCUUGGUAUUCCUUGGAGCAUGCCUGUUUGAGUAUCAUGAAAUCUUCAAAGUAAAUCUUUUGUUAACUCAAUUGGUUUCUACUUUGGUAUUGGAGGUCUUUGCAGCUUCACACCUGCUCCUCUUUGUUCAUUAGCUGGAUCUCAGUGUUAUGCUUGGUUCCACUCGGCGUGAUAAGUUAUCUAUCGCUGAGGACACUGUAAAAGGUGGCCAAGGUAAAUGCAGAUGAACCGCUUCUAAUAGUCCAUUGACUUGGACAAUACUUUUAUGAUCUGAUCUCAAAUCAGGUAGGACUACCCGCUGAACUUAAGC